rnacentral:rRNA from 1 species
AACAGGGAUUGCCCCAGUAACGGCGAGUGAAGCGGCAACAGCUCAAAUUUGAAAUCUGGCUCUCGGGCCCGAGUUGUAAUUUGUAGAGGAUGCUUUUGGUGAGGUGCCUUCCGAGUUCCCUGGAACGGGACGCCAUAGAGGGUGAGAGCCCCGUCUGGUUGGACACCGAUCCUCUGUAAAGCUCCUUCGACGAGUCGAGUAGUUUGGGAAUGCUGCUCUAAAUGGGAGGUAUAUGUCUUCUAAAGCUAAAUACCGGCCAGAGACCGAUAGCGCACAAGUAGAGUGAUCGAAAGAUGAAAAGAACUUUGAAAAGAGAGUUAAAAAGUACGUGAAAUUGUUGAAAGGGAAGCGCUUGUGACCAGACUUGGGCUUGGUUGAUCAUCCGGGGUUCUCCCCGGUGCACUCUUCCGGCUCAGGCCAGCAUCAGUUCGCCCUGGGGGAUAAAGGCUUCGGGAAUGUGGCUCUCUCCGGGGAGUGUUAU